rnacentral:lncRNA from 1 species
AACUUAACUCUCUAGAUAAGCAUUCGAUUGUUUCGAGCGCUCAAAAGAUCCUCUGAAUCCAAUUUUGGGCGCCUGAUUCCGUUCAAGAUUCCGAAAGUGGUCCAAAAACUCUAGCUAAUUCAAGAGUUUGAAGGCUGUCUCGAUCCGAGUUCAUUUUAAUUCGAUCCAAACUCAGUCUAAACCUUUCUAACUCCAUUUUAGUCAUGUCUAACGUGAUAAAAUUUGCAUUUUGUCAAUUUAUCCAAAGUUUGGUGCAUUACAAAAACCUAAAAUUCUAGCCUGAAUUAGAAAAUCCGAAGACAAAACAAUAAUUUCUUUUUGCCAUAUUUCAAAACAUAUUAUAUUAAAAUCUAAAAAUAUUAAAAUCUCAAUAUUCAAAAUAUAAAUUCAAUUAUAACAUCAAAUAUUCAUGCAUAUAAUAGCAAUAACCAAAUAGAAAAAGUACAUUUUCAUAAUAUCUAGUCCAAAUGCCCAAUCUCCAAAU